AUAUCAAUAAGCGGAGGAAAAGAAACCAACAGGGAUUGCCUCAGUAACGGCGAGUGAAGCGGCAAGAGCUCAAAUUUGAAAGCUGGCUCCUUCGGGGUCCGCAUUGUAAUUUGCAGAGGAUGCUUCGGGAGCGGUCCCCCAUCUAAGUGCCCUGGAACGGGACGUCAUAGAGGGUGAGAAUCCCGUAUGGGAUGGGGUGUCCGCGCCCGUGUGAAGCUCCUUCGACGAGUCGAGUUGUUUGGGAAUGCAGCUCUAAAUGGGUGGUAAAUUUCAUCUAAAGCUAAAUAUUGGCCGGAGACCGAUAGCGCACAAGUAGAGUGAUCGAAAGAUGAAAAGCACUUUGAAAAGAGAGUUAAAAAGCACGUGAAAUUGUUGAAAGGGAAGCGCUUGCGACCAGACUCGCUCGUGGGGUUCAGCCGGCAUUCGUGCCGGUGUACUUCCCCGCGAGCGGGCCAGCGUCGGUUUGGGCGGUCGGUCAAAGGCCCUCGGAAGGUAACGCCCCCUCGGGGGCGUCUUAUAGCCGAGGGUGCAAUGCGACCUGCCUGGACCGAGGAACGCGCUUCGGCUCGGACGCUGGCAUAAUGGUCGUAAGCGACCCGUCUUGAAACACGGACCAAGGAGUCUAACAUCUACGCGAGUGUUCGGGUGUCAAACCCGUGCGCGCAGUGAAAGCGAACGGAGGUGGGAACCCUUUUGGGUGCACCAUCGACCGAUCCUGAUGUCUUCGGAUGGAUUUGAGUAAGAGCGUAGCUGUUGGGACCCGAAAGAUGGUGAACUAUGCCUGAAUAGGGCGAAGCCAGAGGAAACUCUGGUGGAGGCUCGUAGCGGUUCUGACGUGCAAAUCGAUCGUCGAAUUUGGGUAUAGGGGCGAAAGACGAA
rnacentral:rRNA from 1 species